ensembl:ncRNA lncRNA:CR43848 long non-coding RNA:CR43848
GACAAUUUUAUGUCCACAAAAUUAUGUAUUUGUUGAAAACACACAAGCGACAACAACAACAAGGAUAAUAACAACCCAAGCACGGCAAAGCAACAAUAAUGCAAAGCAAUGAAAAUAACCACAAUGGCAGAUACAACAACAACGGCAUUACCAGCGGCAAUGUGAACAACAUCGAGAACGGAACGGACAUAGGAACGGAUAGGACAUAGGAAUUCCGAAUCGAGGGGCCAAAGGACUGAGGGACUGUCAACUGCCAACAAGGACAUAAGCAAUAACAACAAACAGCUAAAAUAGCAACAUGAGCAGAUUAUAAUGAACAACAUAUUCGCACGGCCGCACCCACUGCCACACCCCUCAUCCAUUCGCUGUUCCCCCCCCAAUCGCCCACCGCCCCUCAUUCGACCGCUUUCAUAAUCGCACACGCACUCAAUUUCGUUGGCUGGAGAGGGGAGGGAGGUAGGUAGGUAGGUAGAGGCAGGGGAAAAAGCAACAAAGCGCCAUGCAACAAUUUACGUGUUUUGACACUAAUACAAAAGCUAUUACAAUACAUGCACACCAAAAAAUGUGUUUAGUUUAAUAACAAAUCCUGAUUUUGUGUAAUCUUUAUGACAAAUUAUGGAUCUUACGACAUUCAAAAGAAAAAAUAUUUUUAAGU